UACGUAGGUGGCAAGCGUUGUCCGGAAUUACUGGGUGUAAAGCGCGUGUAGGCGGGAGGCCAAGUCUGCUGUGAAAUCGCUCGGCUCAACUGGGCGGGGUCGGUGGAAACUGGUCACCUGGAGGACGGUAGAGGCGAGUGGAAUUCCCGGUGUAGUGGUGAAAUGCGUAGAGAUCGGGAGGAACACCAGUGGCGAAGGCGGCUCGCUGGGCCGGUCCUGACGCUGAGGCGCGAAAGCGUGGGGAGCGAUCCGG
rnacentral:rRNA from 1 species